AGAAGAGAGACGAGGAAGAGAUCCCAAAGGCCUCGCAAAUGCCUUCUCUAAAGCCCUGUGUACAUUAUAUUCAUGUCUAAGCUUCCUCUUUAGCUUAUCAACCUACAAUUUGAAUUUGAAAGAACACCAAAACAGAAAACCAAAUUGGAUAUUAGAGCUGAGAGAAUUUUAUACACAUAUUCAAAUAACGCCAUUUCCCUUUUGCCUAUUGGAUCGACGUUGAUUGGUAGAACCAAGUCCGUUGCUCCCUGGAGUCCCCAUUUUCUUUUCUUCUUUUUCGUAUAUUUAAGAGGAAAAUUAAAAGAAAAUAAACGAAUACAAAUCAAGCUAUGAAUCUCCACUAUGUACCCUAACCUUUCACCAAUCUCCUUCACUUUCUUUGCCACUAGCAGCUCGAUCUCAAUUGACAACUGCGCCACUAAAAGAUCGAGCCUCGAAGAUCGACCAUCUGCCACCUAGCUGCAGCUGGCUAACCGUGACUUCUUC
rnacentral:lncRNA from 1 species